rnacentral:rRNA from 1 species
AGAGUUUGAUCCUGGCUCAGGACGAACGCUGGCGGCGUGCCUAAUACAUGCAAGUCGAACGCUUCUUUUUCCACCGGAGCUUGCUCCACCGGAAAAAGAGGAGUGGCGAACGGGUGAGUAACACGUGGGUAACCUGCCCAUCAGAAGGGGAUAACACUUGGAAACAGGUGCUAAUACCGUAUAACAAUCGAAACCGCAUGGUUUUGAUUUGAAAGGCGCUUUCGGGUGUCGCUGAUGGAUGGACCCGCGGUGCAUUAGCUAGUUGGUGAGGUAACGGCUCACCAAGGCGACGAUGCAUAGCCGACCUGAGAGGGUGAUCGGCCACAUUGGGACUGAGACACGGCCCAAACUCCUACGGGAGGCAGCAGUAGGGAAUCUUCGGCAAUGGACGAAAGUCUGACCGAGCAACGCCGCGUGAGUGAAGAAGGUUUUCGGAUCGUAAAACUCUGUUGUUAGAGAAGAACAAGGAUGAGAGUAACUGUUCAUCCCUUGACGGUAUCUAACCAGAAAGCCACGGCUAACUACGUGCCAGCAGCCGCGGUAAUACGUAGGUGGCAAGCGUUGUCCGGAUUUAUUGGGCGUAAAGCGAGCGCAGGCGGUUUCUUAAGUCUGAUGUGAAAGCCCCCGGCUCAACCGGGGAGGGUCAUUGGAAACUGGGAGACUUGAGUGCAGAAGAGGAGAGUGGAAUUCCAUGUGUAGCGGUGAAAUGCGUAGAUAUAUGGAGGAACACCAGUGGCGAAGGCGGCUCUCUGGUCUGUAACUGACGCUGAGGCUCGAAAGCGUGGGGAGCAAACAGGAUUAGAUACCCUGGUAGUCCACGCCGUAAACGAUGAGUGCUAAGUGUUGGAGGGUUUCCGCCCUUCAGUGCUGCAGCUAACGCAUUAAGCACUCCGCCUGGGGAGUACGACCGCAAGGUUGAAACUCAAAGGAAUUGACGGGGGCCCGCACAAGCGGUGGAGCAUGUGGUUUAAUUCGAAGCAACGCGAAGAACCUUACCAGGUCUUGACAUCCUUUGACCACUCUAGAGAUAGAGCUUCCCCUUCGGGGGCAAAGUGACAGGUGGUGCAUGGUUGUCGUCAGCUCGUGUCGUGAGAUGUUGGGUUAAGUCCCGCAACGAGCGCAACCCUUAUUGUUAGUUGCCAUCAUUUAGUUGGGCACUCUAGCAAGACUGCCGGUGACAAACCGGAGGAAGGUGGGGAUGACGUCAAAUCAUCAUGCCCCUUAUGACCUGGGCUACACACGUGCUACAAUGGGAAGUACAACGAGUCGCAAAGUCGCGAGGCUAAGCUAAUCUCUUAAAGCUUCCCUCAGUUCGGAUUGUAGGCUGCAACUCGCCUACAUGAAGCCGGAAUCGCUAGUAAUCGUGGAUCAGAAUGCCACGGUGAAUACGUUCCCGGGCCUUGUACACACCGCCCGUCAA